UGGUAGUGGUGUAUUAUACUCCAUUCCACAAAAGAAUGCAACUCACUCGUAUAUCCAAAUAAACAAACUCCCCUGUCUUGUGGUUAAAUUCUACUACAAAGCCAAAUGUGCAAAGACUGAUAUAUUUUGGUUGUCACCCAGUUGACUUACUAUGUCCAACUUAAAACAGUGCCUAAAAAAAUGUUGAUAAAUAUGAAAUCAGGUUACACCCAUCGUGGACUGUUGUCUAUUAGUCUUGGGUACAUCCCACGUGCAAGCUAAUAGUAUGCAGGUCUGAUUAGGUUUAAUCCAGUUAUCAGGCCAACUGUACAUAGUUGUCACUAUUGGUGUUGAAAACUGGUAUAGCUUAUUUAGUAGGGUCUGUAGAUAUCUGAAAACUUCUGCGCUUUAAUAGACAGUCUUUUGGAGCCGAUCUA